rnacentral:piRNA from 1 species
UAGGUUUCCUGCCUCCGGGCCUGGGGUC